GCCGGGACUGCGUCGGCGGCGUGUGUCGCCCCGGCGCUGGGGCUGCUGGUGUGCAGGGCAGCGUCUUCUAGACCUGCGAGCGACAUGCAUUUCGCCUCAGAUGUGUUCCCAAGUUGAAAACCUUCCAUGCGAGAGGAUUUGAAGAAAGAGAAUAAAAAUUCCUACGGGCUUUAAAUUAAAAUGGAAAAAUAUGAGAACCUUGGAUUGGUUGGAGAAGGGAGUUAUGGAAUGGUGAUGAAGUGUAGGAAUAAAGAUAGUGGAAGAAUUGUGGCCAUCAAGAAGUUCCUAGAAAGUGAUGAUGACAAAAUGGUUAAAAAAAUUGCUAUGCGAGAAAUCAAGUUACUAAAGCAACUGAGGCAUGAAAAUUUGGUGAAUCUGUUGGAGGUGUGUAAGAAAAAAAAACGAUGGUACCUAGUCUUUGAAUUUGUUGACCACACGAUUCUUGAUGACUUGGAACUCUUUCCAAAUGGACUAGAUGACCAAGUAGUUCAAAAGUAUUUGUUUCAGAUUAUUAAUGGAAUUGGAUUUUGUCACAGUCACAAUAUCAUACAUAGAGAUAUAAAGCCAGAGAAUAUAUUGGUCUCCCAGUCUGGCGUUGUCAAGUUAUGUGAUUUUGGAUUUGCACGGACACUGGCAGCUCCCGGAGAGGUUUACACUGAUUAUGUGGCAACUCGAUGGUACAGAGCUCCAGAACUACUGGUUGGUGAUGUCAAGUAUGGCAAAGCUGUGGAUGUGUGGGCCAUUGGUUGUCUGGUAACUGAAAUGCUCAUGGGGGAACCCCUGUUUCCUGGAGACUCUGAUAUUGAUCAGCUUUAUCUUAUUAUGAGGUGUUUAGGUAAUCUAAUUCCAAGACACCAGGAGCUUUUUUAUAAAAAUCCUGUGUUUGCUGGAGUAAGGUUGCCUGAAAUCAAGGAAUCAGAACCUCUUGAAAGACGCUAUCCCAAGCUCUCAGAAGUUGUGAUAGAUUUAGCAAAGAAAUGCUUACAUGUUGACCCAGACAAAAGGCCCUUCUGUGCUGAGCUCCUACACCAUGAUUUCUUUCAGAUGGAUGGAUUUGCUGAGCGGUUUUCUCAGGAACUACAGAUGAAAGUACAGAAAGAUGCCAGAAAUAUAUCUUUAUCUAAAAAAUCCCAGAACAGAAAGAAGGAAAAGGAAAAGGAUGAUUCCUUAGGCGAAGAAAGAAAAACACUAGUGGUACAGGAUACCAAUGCUGACUCCAAAUUUAAGGAUUCUAAAGUAUUUAAAAUAAAAGGAUCAAAAAUUGAUGGAGAAAAAGUUGACAAAGGCAAUAGAGCCUCAAAUGCCAGCUGUCUCCAUGACAGUGGGACAAGCCACAUCAAAGCAGUGCCUUCCACAAGCCUCAGAGACUGCAGCAAUGUCAGUGUGGAUCACACAAGGAAUCCAGGCAUGGCCAUUCCCCGCCUUACGCACAAUCUUUCUGCAGUUGCUCCUGGAAUUAAUUCUGGAAUGGGGACUAUCCCAGGAGUUCAGAGUUACAGAGUGGAUGAGAAGACUAAGAAGUAUUGUAUUCCAUUUGUUAAGCCAAAUAAACAUUCUCCAUCAGGCAUUUAUAAUAUGAAUGUGACCACAUCAGUCUCCAGUGAAAAGAACCUCCUUCAGGCAAACAAGAAAAGAGGGGAGUACUCCAAGACAGAUGUCCGUUUGCCUGAACUAAACUAUAAUCAUCUCCCUGAACUAAGAGCCUUGGAAGGCAUUGCUCGAAAUUCUAGGCUCAUAAGAAAGGAGAACAAAAUUCUUUCAGAAUCUCGAAUUCCUUCUCUGGCUGCCAUUGACCUGCACACACCCAACAUUGCAGUACAUCAGGUGUCAGGAUCUCCCCUGUCAGAUGGUUCAGAGGCCGAUUCGCCUUGGAUGGAGCACCAGCACUGAAGAUCACUUGGUGGUUCUGAUCUGGAUGCUGCUGUAGCUCUUGGGAUGGCACCCUCUCCCAACAAAGCUGCUGAUAUCCUAGGAGGAGAGAUGAGCGCUUUUGAGGGUUUGCCUCUGAACUGCCUGUGUUUUCUAAGAAAGGCUUUGCAGAAGAAGGAACGACAAAGACUUGGAGAUGUUUCAAAAGAAGAUUGAACAAUUUUAGACAUGAAACAACUUGAAAAUAUAAUUAACAUGCAGCUUACCUACUUCUUAACUUGCCCUUCUGAGAAGUACGUUACCACAGAUGUCGACAUCAUCACUCGUAAGUAACUUGUGAUUUAGAGUUUUGUGUUUUUAGGGACUUACUUAUCUCUGAUGUUGAAUGUAUUAUACACUGAGAAAUUUCCUUGAAAAAACCACCCACAAAAUGUCAAUGCCAUUUUCCUUUGUUUUCAGUGAAAAUUAAUCCCCCUCCCCCAUUGCACAGCCUUAUUUAAUUCCUUUGUUUGCUGCAUUGGCAUACAGGGAUAUCUAUAGAUGUAAAGAAGUUUCCACUAAAAUUUUGGAAAGUGUAUUGUCAGCUAACAUAAAUUAAUAUAGAAAAGGAGAAAGAAAUGAAAACACUGUAUCUCACUUCAGCAUAUUUUCCUGACCCCAGACCAGGAUGGGAUCUCCUAACAGUCAGGAAAACAGACAAGGAAAAUACUCAACAUCACUGCCCCACUAGAUUGGCAGUGGCUCUGAGGAUUAGGAACCACAUCUUGUUGAUCUUGUUUUGUUCCACACUGCCUAACACAGUGCUUUCUUCUUGCCAGUGGUAACUCUAUGAAAGUAGAAGUGUUAAUCAUAUUUUACAGGAAAGAUAAUAGAAUUAAAAAGUGUCACUCAAUGAUGUUGAAACAAAUAAAUGGCCAUGAUUACUUAGAUCUGGAAUUCAUGUUUUAAAAAAGCCAUUUUUGUUUAGGUAAUAUAAACUUCGGAAUUUCAGGCUCCUGGGGUUAUGUGCUUUCUCAUUUGCUUCCCAAAGAGGAGGAGAAGAGUUUCCCAGCCAAACAAAACUUCACCGUUCUUGAGCCUAAUUUGUAUAGUUCGUUUCUGAACCACUUGCUAACUGUCUUAGACCUCAGGCCUCUGUUAAAUUCCCUUGCCUGUGUUAACAGAAGCAAAGGGAAGUGGGAUCAUGCUGAUUAGUUCAGGCUGUGGCAGCCUGUCCCUGGCACACAUGACUUCUACAAGGCAGUGGAGACAUGGAAUGGACAAUGGAAAAACUGUCACAGUGCUCACCAGAGGUGGACAUUUUGAAUCUGCAAGAGGUGUGCUUUAGUUUAGAUUUGCUUGUUUCUGCCAAGUUGUCUUCCAAAAGAGCUGUACCAAUCAAUAUUCCCAUCAACAUAUAAGAAAAUUUGUUUUCUCAUGUUAAGCAUUGUUAAUAAUUUCUUUUAGUCAAUCUGAUGGGUGAAAAUGAUCUUGCUAUAGUUUCCUUUUCUGAUUACUACUGAAGUAAUGUUUUCAUAUGUUUUAUGUAUUUAUUGGCCAUUUGAGUUCCUUCAGUGACUAAAAGAUAUUAACAGUCUUAAAAAAAGAUAAAGCAUAUUUUAGAGUAAAUAUUUAUUUUAUUUUCCUAUAAAUAUUUUUCUUAUCUCUGAAAACAAAACCAAACACUAGAUUCAGAUAAUGUGAGUAUAUUAAUGUGUAUUAUGGGAAAACUAUGCAUGGUUUUCAAAACUUUUUGUACCAGAAAUUAUGGGAUAUGUACUCUUUAGAAUACUAUACCGCAGUAAGAAACAACGAAAUCCAGUCAUUUGCAACAAAAUGGAGGAAUCUGGAACACAUCAUGCUGAGUGAAAUAAGCCAAUCCCAAAGGGACAAAUACCAUUUGUUCUCCCUGAUCGGUGACAACUGACUGAACACCAAAAAGGAAACCUCCUGAAGUGAAAUGGACACUAUGGGAAACGGUGACUUGAUCAGCAUAGCCCUGACUGUUAAUGAACAACUUAAUACAUUAUCCCUCUUAGUAGUUUUUUUGUCUGUUCUACUUAAUAUGACUGGUUUAAUUCUGUAAUUAAUACACAGUUAUUCUUUUUUUUUUCAGUUAUUCUUAAGUGUUGAAAAUUAACUGAAAUGUGAUCCCUGUUAAACAUAAGAGUGGGAAUAAGAGAGGGAAGAGAUGUAUAAUUUGGGACAUGCUCAAGCUGACUUGCCCCAAAUGGUAGAGUUAGAAACAUACCAGGGGAUUCCAAUUCAAUCCCAUCAAGGUGGCAUGUACCAAUGCCAUCUCACUAUUCCAAGUGAUCAAUUUCAGUUCACAAUUGAUCAUAAUGAAAGGACUAAGAGUCAAAGGGAGCACAUAAACAAGUCUAGUACCUGCUAACACUAACUGAUAGAAUAAAUAAAGGGGAGAGUGAUCCAACAUGGGAAGUGAGACACUCAGCAGACUCAUAGAAUGGCAGAUGUCCUAAACAGCACUCUGGCCUCAGAAUCAGCCCUAAAGGCAUUCAGAUCUGGCUGAAAAGCCCAUGAGAGUAUUUCAGGCAUGGAAAGCCAAAACACUCUGGCAAAAGAUCUCUGUGAGUGAGAUCCCAGUGGAAAGAACAGGUCUUCAAAGAAGGGGGUACCUUUCUCUGAAGGGAAGAGAGAACCUCCACUUUGACUAUGACCUUGUCUAAACAAGAUAAGAAUCGGAGAACUCAGAGGGCUUCCAUAGCCUCGGAAACUCAUGACUGGAGCAUAGGGAGAUUACUGAUGCCAUAGACAGGAGUGUCAAUUGGUAAAGUCAACAACAGGAGUCACUGUGCACUUACUCCUCAUGUAGGAUCUCUAUCCUUAAUGUGCUGUGCAUUGAGAUUUAAUGCUGUAACGAGUACUCAAACAAUAUAUUUCACUCUGUGUUUCUAUGGGGGUGCAAACUGUUGAAAUCUUUACUUAAUGUAUACUAAACUGAUCCUCUGUAAAAAAAAAAAAAAAAGAAAAGAAAUUAUCAACUCCCAACUUGACUCUCACUGGGAUUAAACAUGACAAUAGGUCUGAUCUGAUUUCAUCAUCAUUUAAAAAAUAAAUCAUCUAUUAUUUUUCACUUUAUGUUUCUGUGUGAGAGCAAACUGUUGAAAUCCUUACUUAAUGUAUACUAAGCUGAUCUUCUGUA